CCCGUGACAGGACCUUACGGUCAGGGGUACCGUUACCUUUUUACUCUGUUAGUUAGUGUCUCAGAUAAAGCAAUUGUCCAUAUCUUCUGUUUCCAUUGUGUGAUGUGCAAGUGAUCAAGUCCUUUCUGGUUCUUUGCUAUAAGUAAUCGUGCCGCUACCAGAAGAAAAAAUGGUGAGUUCCUUGCUGAAUAUCUUUGAAGAUUGUUCAUAAACCUAGGCAUGGAUUGCAUUGCACAUCCUGGUUUGUGAUUUUGCUUUAUUCUGUUUUGUAAAUAUCCCUUCCCAAAAUGGUUGCACCCAUUCACAUGCCCACCACAUAUGAAAAGUCUUGUACCUUCUGCUGAAGAAAGUCUCUUUAUUGAUCCAUGUCACACUCAGGUAGGAAACCUGAACUCACCAGUAAAACACGCCAGUAGAGAGGAAUAACAAGAACUCACUAAGUAACUGGCAUUUAGAGGGAAAGACCAAAACCAUCUUGAUGACGCAUUGUAAAUACUUCAGAUAGCUGAGAAGAGUUGAUCAGUCAAGCACCAGGUUGUGACUCAGCUGUUCCAGGACUUGAUAACAUCAGUAUUUCUGAAAGUUUCAGGUUUUGUUGCCUGAGAGGAUGCAGACAGGAUCCUUGGACAAGUGUGUCUGAUAACCUGCCAAGUUACAGCCCCUGCAGAGGCAAAAUCCAAGAUGCUAGUUUUUCUAGGGAUAGCCUGAACCAGCCAUGCAUCUUCCCAUUUGACACCCUUCACCAACCCACUGUAUGGAAUUAUAGGUACCGAGAUUCCAAAGGACCAGAAAAGAUUGUUCAUGUAUGCGACAGCAGCUACAUGGAUACUACUAGCCCAGAGAUGGAAGGAAGAAACAGCCCCGACCAGAGAAUAAUGGCAAACCAAGAUGAUGGACUAUGUCAAAAUGGCAAAAUUAACUGGGAAGUUUAGAAAUCAAGAAGACAUGAACUUUGAAAGAAAAUGGGAAAAGUUUAUGAUUUAUUUACAAGACCACUGCAAGCGGCUUAAAACACUGGCAGGAUAUUAACCACACUUGUAAAGUAACAGAAAGUAUGGAUAAUUUAGAAGGAUAAGAAUUUGGAUACAUAUUGAUAUACAGGUGUAAAUAUUAUCAUCAGGACCCCUGGAAGGGAUGGGGGGAAGUCAGGAGAUUCAGAAUAAUCUUGAUAUUUGGAUUUUGAAUUGUUGUUUGUAAUGUGCUUAUACUAUUUAAAAUCAUAUAUCUUCCUUCCUUCCUUCCUUCCUUCCUUCCUUCCUUCCUUCCUUCCUUCCUUCCUUCCUUCCUUCCUGGUCCUACUGUUGCCUUUCUGGGCAGGCAAGCAGUGGCAAGAGUGAGAAGCUGGAACAGUAUCCUCCACCUUCCUCCUGAUGUUCUUUCUGGGAACACUGGACCCAGAGGGAGUGUGUCACUGAAUGGGCAAUGGUGACUAUGGUGAAGAGGUGGGCCAACUCAGAGAGGUCUGAUAGAAAGUAUGGAUUGAGCAAUGUGAGCCACCAUAUAUUGGGGGGACCUUCCCUUCUAUGUUGUUGAAUUUUAAGAUAACUGUCUCACCUUAAGACAACACUGCUUUACUUAAUAAUUUAAUUUGAUUCAUGGAUGUAAAUUUUCAAGUAAAGCCUAACCUAACAGCAACUUGGCCUGGUAGCAUAUGAGCAGCCACUGCAAGCACCAGAAACGACUAGACUAACAAUCUAGCUGUCAAUAUGUUGCAUCAGCUGAAGCUUCUGCACCAAGCCCAAUGGUAGCUCCACAUAACAUGUAUUGCCACUGUCCACAGGGCUGGACAAUAGUUCUGUGGGCAGCUGCUGGGUUGAAGACAGCUGUCUAGCCUGUGCGCUCAGGUAGCUGGCCUUUGAAACGAUAGUCUGAGACCAGCGGUGUCUAUACUUGCUGCUGCACCUCCGACUUUUCAACUUAGACAUUUCAGAUUAAUAGUAUUGUGUUGCUGUUGUUGCUUUAACAAAAUCAUCCUAAGUCUGCAAAGCUCUCUCCCUGAUCCGCUCCCCCAGACUCUUGCUGAAGGCGUCCCUGAACCUCCCAUUGCUCACGGAAGUGGGAGGCAAAAACAAGAUUGCUCCAUCACAUUUUACUUCACUGUUUUCUGUACUGCUCCAUUCCGUGGCGUAUGUAGCCCUGCUCCCCUUUUCACCGCAUCUUCUUUUGAUGUUUUAGCCCACCCCUUCCUCUCAUUGGCUUAGCUUUUGCUUGUAUAGUCUAGUAAGCUUUGUGGGGGUGAGCAGAGCCUGAGAGACGCAACAGGGCCAAGGAACAUUGGGCAGUAAAAUAAAGUCUUGAUGACAUAUUUCAGAUUUUGCGGACUAUGGGUUAUCUGAUUGUCAAGGGCAUUGCUAUAGUCUGGGAAAGUAUGAAAGAAUUUGCUCCUGUUUCUGACUUUAAAUGCAGAGCAAAAACAUUUCAGGCCCUGGCUUCAGUUUCUUUCUAUCUGCAAGUGUGCAUUGUUUAUGUGUUUUUAAAAUGCUCAAACCUUUAUCUCUCAUUUAUUCUCCCUUUAGUGCUGACUUCUUAUAGAUUGAAACUGAAUGUUUUAAAAAUACACAUGAGACCUAGAAAAUAAUUGCACCACACUUAAUCAUUUAUUCAGCAUUUUCAGUUUGCCCGUAAAUUACCAGUGUUCACUGCAUUUCCUCUCACAACAGUCCUGUGGUGUUGGUUACUUACUAUUCCCAUUUUAUAACUAGAGUAAAGUGUUCAAGCAUAUUGCUCAAAGUAUAGGAAGAAAAAUAUAUAAAUGCUGCCUGACUAGACAUUUUAUUGCCCUUUUCCCUUUUAAAAU